ACUGGUUUGUUGGGGAAUAACCUAGAAACUGUUGUCAGGUACCAGUUUGUAGGGGAGUAACCUAAAAACUGGUGCUAGGGGCUGGAUUGUUGUGGGAGUAACCUGGAAACUGGUGCUACGGGCUGGCGUGUUAGUUACCUUGAGUUCAACCCUCAGUCAGAUUCUCUAAUAUGGAGUCUGACCCUAAGAUCUGGCUAUUCACUACUGUGACAAAAUGCUGACCAAAACCAACUUGCAGGGAAAGGGAGUUAAUACAGUUUAUAGGCUACAAUCAGCUACCACCAGGAAAAGCUGUAACUGGAGCUCAAGGCAGUGCUCUGGAGACAGGAACUGAGGUGUCCAAGAAGGUAGGCUGCUUGCUGGCUUGCUCUCUGGAUUGCUCAGCUAGCUUCCUUAACAGCUCUGUUAAACCUAGGAAUGUCGGACACUCCUACAUCAAUUAGCAAUGAAGAAAAUACCAUACAAGCAUACCCGCAAGCCUGUCUGAUCAAGACAAUAUCUUUGGCUGAAGUGACUUCUUCCAAGUCUCUUCACAGAUUCACGAAAGUUUGGUUUGUUGUGUGAAACAUUUAGUUUAGCCAAGGCUCUUGCUACGGCUCCUGAUGUACCUAUCCACUGGAACUUGGUGAAGUCACCACUGAGGAAACAUCUGAAGUCAGUGGCCCAACUGCCAGAUCACAGUAAUGAUGCUCAAUGAGUGUGAACCAUGAGAAGUGUGACAACUCACUCAAGAUUGUAGGCAAUACUUCCUGAACCACCAACUGCUUAUCCCCCUGGCCAACAUUACCAGGGAAAACUUUGUCACUGUAGAAGGACUCAUGACCACAGUACACAUCAUCACUGCCACCAGAAGAACAUAUAUGACCCAUUAAAAAAGUUAUGGGGUUGGUCAGAACAUCAUUCUUGCAUCCACUGGUGCUGCCAAGUCUGUGGGCAAGGUCGUCCCAGAACUGAACAAGAAGCUCACUGACAUGGCCUUCCAUGUUUCUACCCACAACGUGUCUAUUGUGGAUCUGAUAUGCUGCUUCGAAAGAGUUGCCCAAUAUAAUGUCAUCAUGAAUGUGAUGAAGCAGGUGUCCAAGGUCCCACGAAAGGGCCUCCUGGGCUACACUGAGGACCAGAUUAUGUCCUGUGAAUUUAACAGUGACUCCUAUUUUCUACCUGUGUUGGUAGAGCUGGCAUUGUUCUCAAUGACAACUUUGUAAAGCUUAUUUCCUGGUAUGACAAUGAAUUAUGGCUACAGAAACAGGGUGGUGAACCUCGUUACUUCCAUGUCCUCCAAGGAAUAAAAAGCCCUGGACCACCCAUGCUACCAAGGAUCUGAGCGCAAGAGAGAGAUCCUUGACUUCUGAGGAGUCCCUUUCCCAGCUUAGUCUCAGACCUGAGCAUCUAUAUCCCAGUUUCCUUCCUAGACCCCAGUAAUAAUGGGAAGACCCUAGAUUUUAUUCUCUUGAAUACCAUCAAUAAAAUUCACUGCAUCAACAAAAGAAAGAAAGAAAGAAACAAAGGAACAAACAAAGAACAAAUAAGUUGGCCUUAAGACGGAGGUGCUCUGCCUGCAUCUCAGAGGACCAGUUUUUUACUAGACAGAUUUACCAGUAAUUUUAUUCUCUUUCUUUUCUAGGAUACAAGUCUUUUUGAUGGCGUUGUUUUCUUCGUGGAAUCUGGUUUUUGUAAUCAUAUCAAAUAAAAGGAAUUGUUUUUAUUGCACACUUAACCUUGUAGGACUUACCCCUCAUAAUUCUAUGUCUGAGUUAAUUCACAGUGGCAUAAUAAAGACAUUAGUCAUUGUCUUAUUACUUCUAUUUCUGCUACUGAGAAUUCAAUUUUUUGUCAUCUGUUUAUAGGUGACCUGAUUCUGUGAAGAUAGAACAUUUUCACUACCCUGAGGUCUGCUUUUACUUUCAUAAAGUCUUACUAAGAACAUUUUGGGUUAAAUAUGUAUUUCCCCUUUGGGGAAAUCAUGAAACUUUCUGUAAAGUAUCUUAUUUCUUAACUUUCUCAUUGAAGUUUUCUGUUUAUAUUUACACCUAAAUAAAUUCUUUCACAUUUUAA